rnacentral:rRNA from 1 species
AUUGAACGCUGGCGGCAUGCCUUACACAUGCAAGUCGAACGGCAGCACGGGGGCAACCCUGGUGGCGAGUGGCGAACGGGUGAGUAACACAUCGGAACGUGCCCAGUAGUGGGGGAUGCUCGGCGAAAGCCGGAUUAAUACCGCAUACGACCUACGGGUGAAAGCGGGGGAUCGCAAGACCUCGCGCUNUCGGAGCGGCCGAUGUCAGAUUAGGUUGUUGGUGGGGAAAGGCCUACCAAGCCGACGAUCUGUAGCUGGUCUGAGAGGAUGAUCAGCCACACUGGAA